CUGGGUUUUUUGUUGUUGUUGUGGUGGUGGUGGUGAAAUAUUUUAUUUAAGCCUCUAGAUAAUAUUUAUGCUUACUUAACAGAAAAUUUGUUGCUUGAGCUUGCUUCAUUUGGUCCUUUUACUUGUUUAAGUCCUCCUCUAACUAAUUAUACAUUUCGUCCUUUUACUUGUUUAAAUCCUUCAAAAAGUAUUCAUUACUUUAAUAAAUUCCCUCACCAGCAUCAUCACCUCUUAUUCAACAAACUGUUUUUUCCCAAAAGCAAAAAAGAAAAAAAAAAAAAA